rnacentral:rRNA from 1 species
AGAUGAAUCAAAGAAGGUAAUAAUCCUGUAGUCGAAAAUGUUGUCUCUCUUGAGUGGAUCCUGAGUACGACGGAGCACGUGAAAUUCCGUCGGAAUCUGGGAGGACCAUCUCCUAAGGCUAAAUACUCUCUAGUGACCGAUAGUGAACCAGUACCGUGAGGGAAAGGUGAAAAGCACCCCGGAAGGGGAGUGAAAUAGAACCUGAAACCGUGUGCUUACAAGUAGUCAGAGCCCGUUAAUGGGUGAUGGCGUGCCUUUUGUAGAAUGAACCGGCGAGUUACGAUUUGAUGCAAGGUUAAGCAGUAAAUGUGGAGCCGUAGCGAAAGCGAGUCUGAAUAGGGCGUUUAGUAUUUGGUCGUAGACCCGAAACCAGGUGAUCUACCCUUGGUCAGGUUGAAGUUCAGGUAACACUGAAUGGAGGACCGAACCGACUUACGUUGAAAAGUGAGCGGAUGAACUGAGGGUAGCGGAGAAAUUCCAAUCGAACCUGGAGAU